GGAUUAGGCAUGCAAGUCGAGCGAGAAGCUUUUUUUUGAUCUUUCGAGUGAAGAAGAAAGUGGACAGCGGCGAAAGGGAGAGUAACGAGUAGAUCACGUACCCAGGGGUGCAGGAUAGCGGGGGGAAAUCGCCGGUAAUACUGCAUAAUGUCUCCGGACCAAAGAUUUAUCGCCCUUGGAGCGGUCUGCUUACUAUUAGUUUGUUGGUGGGGUAAAGGCCUACCAAGGCUAAGAUGGUUAGCGGGUGUGAGAGCAUGGCCCGUCUCACUGGGACUGAGACACUGCCCAGACGUCUACGGACGGCUGCAGUCGAGAAUCUUCCGCAAUGGACGAAAGUCUGACGGAGCGACGCCGCGUGCGGGAUGAAGGCCUUCGGGUUGUAAACCGCUGUCAGAGGGGAGGAAAUUUUGACCGAUCCUCAGAGGAAGCACAGGCUAAGUUCGUGCCAGCAGCCGCGGUAAUACGAACUGUGCGAACGUUAUUCGGAAUCACUGGGCUUAAAGGGUGCGUAGGCGGCGAUGUAGGUCAGGUGUGAAAUCCCACGGCUCAACCGUGGAACUGCGCCUGAAACCAUGUCGCUUGAGGAAGUCAGAGGUAAGCGGAACUGAUGGUGGAGCGGUGAAAUGCGUUGAUAUCAUCAGGAACACCGGUGGCGAAAGCGGCUUACUGGGACUUUUCUGACGCUGAGGCACGAAAGCCAGGGGAGCGAACGGGAUUAGAUACCCCGGUAGUCCUGGCUGUAAACGAUCUGUACUAGUCUGUGGGGACCUCCACAUCCUCUCGGACGUAGCGAAAGUGUUAAGUACAGCGCCUGGGGAGUAUGGUCGCAAGGCUGAAACUCAAAGGAAUUGACGGGGGCUCACACAAGCGGUGGAGGA
rnacentral:rRNA from 1 species